AUUGAACGCUGGCGGCAUGCCUUACACAUGCAAGUCGAACGGCAGCACGGGUGCUUGCACCUGGUGGCGAGUGGCGAACGGGUGAGUAAUACAUCGGAACAUGUCCUGUAGUGGGGGAUAGCCCGGCGAAAGCCGGAUUAAUACCGCAUACGAUCUACGGAUGAAAGCGGGGGACCUUCGGGCCUCGCGCUAUAGGGUUGGCCGAUGGCUGAUUAGCUAGUUGGUGGGGUAAAGGCCUACCAAGGCGACGAUCAGUAGCUGGUCUGAGAGGACGACCAGCCACACUGGGACUGAGACACGGCCCAGACUCCUACGGGAGGCAGCAGUGGGGAAUUUUGGACAAUGGGCGAGAGCCUGAUCCAGCAAUGCCGCGUGUGUGAAGAAGGCCUUCGGGUUGUAAAGCACUUUUGUCCGGAAAGAAAUCCUUGGCCCUAAUACGGUCGGGGGAUGACGGUACCGGAAGAAUAAGCACCGGCUAACUACGUG
rnacentral:rRNA from 1 species